CAAUACUUAAGGAGCUAAAUAGCUCAAUGAACCGCUGUAAAUAAUUACUCAACAAUCUCAACUUUCUUACAACCAUUGUAAACAGAUUCUUUGACAGCAUCUAAUGUAAGUUGCGUCUUCCUACUGAUGGUAGGCCAUUUCUUGUCAGGUUUUGCACCUUUAUUUCUUAUAUCCGCCACUAACCUCGAGAACUCCCUCACCAUCAGACAUUCCUGAGGAAGAUCUGUCAUAACUGUGUGCUCGCUUGGCUUCGGCACCCAUCCAGUCAUCAAGUCAUUGAAUCCUGACAUUACAGCAGUGGUAAAAGAGGCUUUGUUUUCUUCAUAAGGGAUGACAAAAUCGUGCAUAUGCAAAGUCCCCUUAGUCCCGACAAAAGUGACAUCCAUGAUCAAGUUUUCCAAGAAAGAGCAACGGAAGGUUGCUACUUUUCCAUCUUCCCAAUGUAAGGAAGCAUUACAUGUCAAAAUCACGCCUGCUUUGUUGAGAAUAGUUCCAGGCAAAGCAGUUACAAAUUUAGGCAGUUCGAAAUCAGCAGCCCACAGAAUUGACCUGAUGCAGUACCACCCUACGUCACCAAGAGCGCCUAGACCAUCAAGAUCUGGUUUCGUUCUAAUAUCAUUCUCCAGAAAAUCAGGGGUAACCGCG
rnacentral:lncRNA from 1 species